GGAACCCUGACCGAGCAACGCCGCGUGAGUGAAGAAGGUUUUCGGAUCGUAAAGCUCUGUUGUAAGAGAAGAACGGGUGUGAGAGUGGAAAGUUCACACUGUGACGGUAUCUUACCAGAAAGGGACGGCUAACUACGUGCCAGCAGCCGCGGUAAUACGUAGGUCCCGAGCGUUGUCCGGAUUUAUUGGGCGUAAAGCGAGCGCAGGCGGUUAGAUAAGUCUGAAGUUAAAGGCUGUGGCUUAACCAUAGUAUGCUUUGGAAACUGUUUAACUUGAGUGCAGAAGGGGAGAGUGGAAUUCCAUGUGUAGCGGUGAAAUGCGUAGAUAUAUGGAGGAACACCGGUGGCGAAAGCGGCUCUCUGGUCUGUAAACUGACGCUGAGGCUCGAAAAGCGUUGGGGAGCAAAACAGGGAUUAAGAUACCCUGGUAGUCCCACGCCGUAAAACGAUGAGUGCUAAGUGUAAGGCCCUUUUCCGGGGGGCUUAGUUGCCCGCCAAGC
rnacentral:rRNA from 1 species